AUCAAGCUGACGAAUCCCAAAUUGGACGAAAUGCGCAUCCUGGAU
rnacentral:hammerhead_ribozyme from 1 species